GAUGAACGCUGGCGGCGUGCCUAAUACAUGCAAGUCGAACGCAUUGAGAGAAGUUCUCUCACUUUUCAAUUUGAGUGGCGAACGGGUGAGUAACACGUGGGCAACCUACCUGAUAGCGGGGGAUAACGAGUGGAAACAUUCGCUAAUACCGCAUAACAAUCGAGAAAGCAUCUACUUUAUUAAAAAGCCGCUUUCAUGCGUCACUAUCAGAUGGGCCCGCGGUGCAUUAGUUAGUUGGUGGGGUGAAGGCCUACCAAGCUGAUGAUGCGUAGCCGAGUUGAAGGACUGAUCGGCCACAUUGGGACUGAGACACGGCCCAAACUCCUACGGGAGGCUGCAGUAGGGAAUCUUCCACAAUGGACGAAAGUCUGAUGGAGCAACGCCGCGUGUGUGAUGAAGGCUUUAGGGUCGUAAAGCACUGUUGUAUGGGAAGAAAUGCUCGGCUAGGAAAUGAGCUUAGUUUGACGGUACCAAACCAGAAAGGGACGGCUAAAUACGUGCCAGCCGCCGCCGUAA
rnacentral:rRNA from 1 species